rnacentral:tRNA from 1 species
UGGCUUAUAGCUCAGUGGAAGAGCGCCUGAAAUGAUUUAAGAAGUUUAGACUUGAAGAAAUCAUGUAAUCAGGAAGCAUGAGUUCAAUUCUCAUUAAACCAC